rnacentral:tRNA from 1 species
GUUUUAAUAAUUUAAUAAAAAUAUUGAUUUUGUAAAUCAAAAAUAAGGUACUCUUUUAAAACU